CAUUUCGAUUUGUUGCUGAUUCUCUGUGAAGAUACUGUUUCCAUCAGCAUGUCUUAAUAUACUAAACUUGUCCCCUAAGCCCAUCCUCUGAAGCUUGGUGCUAUGAUUCGCUGUUACAGCUUUACGGUUUGGAAGAGCUGGGUUCGUACACACUUCGCACGGAGCAUAACCCCCGUCGGCAGCCAGCGGCGCCGUCUGCAAGACCAGAAUUGCUCCGAGGGCUGCGACGGGAGCCCCGAGCAUCCGUGGUCCAGCAGGCGCCGCAGGCGGCUCUGCGAGCGGAUGCAAAGGGCUCGUGUGGGAACGUAUCUCUCUCAAACACAUCUCGAGUGAUGCUCUUGAAACAGAACAGAGCUGCUGUGGGGAAAGGUAACAUAACAAGCCACGCGAGAGAGGAUAUCCUGCCCCGCGAUUAAAGGAGCACGUCAUCCCUCCUCAUCCAGAUUGAUAAACUGCAGGAUUUACCUUAGAUACAACAACGGUGCCCACGAGCUCCUAUUUCCAUCUUGGCUGGACUAAAGGUACGUGACCGCUCCUAACGGCGCAGACUCCUCAGCUGUCGCUCGGCUCCUUCACGUCCCGCUGUAUAAUGAGGCUCUGCACUUGAAGAUCACCGAAAAACUUCAGCUGCGUUGGACUGCAGCUCUUCGAUUCCAUAUUUUAAUUUAAUGUUGGAAAUGUGCUGGUCAGAAUGGUCUCAAGCUGCUUGUACGUGUUCAGAAAGCAACUAAGUAAACUUAAAAAGGGGCUCAAUGACUAAGAGAAAUGACUAAGAAAAUCAGACGAAGGCAGGAGAACCCCCCUAAAUAACUGCACAGGUAAAACGCAGUGUAAAUAAGUAUCUCCUGCAUCGCUGGCUUUUCUUUAUGAUGUCUCAUGAAGGAAGCUUAUGACAAAUUCAUCCCUGUCUUGCCACUCAAUUCUGGCUGCAAUUCAAUUCAAGGCGCUGGCUGAGAUCUGUGAGGACAGCCGGGUGAAGCGUUGUCAUCCUGAAGCCUUUCGUGAGUUCAGUCUGAAUUAACUCAAUAGCUUUGGUUGGAAAAAAUGAUGGUGCCUCUCUGCUGUGGUGAUAAAGGAACUCACCAAGGAUAUGUCAGAUGCAAUUUGAUUUUCUCCUCAGCCCAAGGGGACUUGAACUCACUUAUUUUACCUUUUGCUGGAGUACCCUAACUCUCACGAUACGGAGCCUCACCUCGUUGUGCCGUGCUACUUUGCAUAAAUAAUUCAACUUUUUGUCACAACCCCAGAACUCAGUGCUCUAAUUACCAGCCCAGAAAGACAUUCUUGCUAUUUCUCUGGGUCAUUUUGCUCAACACAGAACGAUUCAGUUCCAGUUCAGCCGCUUCAGCUGGGUGAGGAAAACACGACUUCCCCCCGCCCCCCCCCAACACUUCUGUUCAUUUCCAGUUUGGCUGCUGAACCGACACCCGAGGUUUCAGCGCACCCCUACGUCUGGGCACCUCCGUGUUUCAGAAGUUCUGAGUGCUGGGUGGGGAAGGGCAGCCCGGUGAGGCAGCACUGCGCGUCUUGGGGGCACCUAACCUAGAGCCUUAACUAAACCCGUGGGAUGCUCGCCUUCUCUAGGGCUGGCCCCAGGUCCGCUGCCCGCGGUGCAGCAGCCUAAAAUCAGGGGCUGAAGGGAUCUUUACGCCUUCAGUGGGUUGUUUGGGCCCGGCAGAAGCUUAGUCCAGAGCAGGGUUGGGCCUAAGAGCUUCAUGACCUAUGUAACAAAAGCAGCGCUGGUUGAUUUGAAGUGCACGAAAAGCACUUUGUACCCGAGGGCGAGAUGUGUGGGUGCCGGGGGCUGGGGCGGUGCCGAGGGAGGUUGGGUGCCCGGUGCCUGCUGGGGAUCGGGCGUUUCCCCUGCCCAGUUCUUCUGAGAACCCCACUUUGCAGUAACCGAGACCUGAAACCUUGGCUAUCUGAUGGGAAGCCCUUUAUUUGCAUACUACUGUUGCAGAAAUGUAGAUAAUUUUAAUUUAGAUCUUUACAUAAUUUUAUUUUUAAAAGCAGUAUCAACAAAUUAAUGAGAAUGCAUAAAUAAAUAUCUGCUACAGAAUAGCUGUUCAGAUCUACCCCAUCUGUUACCACAUUUUAUUAUUUUAUUUUAUUUUAUUUUAUUUUAUUUUAUUUUAUUUUAUUUUAUUUUAUUUUAUUUUAUUUUAUUUUAUUUUAUUUUAUUUUAUUUUUAAACAUUUUUAAUAUUUUUAUUUAUUUCAGUAUUUACUUUUUAUACUAGUGUAUUUUUAUCAAAAGAGGAAAGUAGGCCACUGGAUUAUUUUAUGAAUGGAUAAUCCUUUCUAAGAAUAUUCUUAUACCUGGUAUAGUUUUCUACUUCCAGUAACAUAGUAAAGCUUCAACUAAAGACAUAUGCAAUGAUGGAAAUUGUUAAUCUAAUUAUCGUUUUCUUUAACAUUUAUCCUACAAUAAGAUUUGUGGAGCUGGAUCCUCAGCCUGUCAUUGACCUGAGUGCAUAAUAAGCUCUCGGAUGCUUCUUUGGGCCAAGAAGUUAAUAACAAGCUGCAGGGCCACCCGUGGUGAGAUGCUGGUCUCCAACGGCCUGGAUUUUUGGUGGACAGGCCGCGCCGCGGGAUUCUGUCUCGCCAAAGCGCCUUGAGCCAGAGACCACAAAACGCAGGGGUCCACGAUUAGGCUGGCAAACCAAAAUGCCUGUUUGCCCUUGAGUGCUCAUCAUGUUACGGAUAUCGCGGCAACACAAGGGAGAAAUCCUGCACUGGCUACGUCUUAACGAAGAAAGUCAAGGGCAGCGGUGACCUCGGCGGCGAGAACGUCUGCAGCCCUCUCUGCUUUCCCUGGGAUUCGAAGCGCUUCCAUUCCCUGCCCUGUGCAACGAGGCUCGUGGUUUGUAAAUCAGAGGCAAACGAGCCUUUUAAAUGAUUCUGACACAUCUAACUUUUCUGAACUUUAAGAUAUGCCACAAAAAAGGAAGACUUUUUUGUUCAUAUUUUUAUUCCUCCCCCAAACAUCCACUGUAUCGUAACUCCUCCCGCCCCACUACCGGCAAGUGACCGUGGAGAUCCUGCGGCGGAGUUACAAACCGUUCGUUGCGCUACCCCCACAAAAUCGCACGGCUUGAAAAAAAUGCAGAAGCUUAAAAUUGCCUGCCAUAAUUAAAAUAUUGAGUUGUUCACUUAGGGAAGGAAGCAGCCACCCUAACAGCGCGGUAAGGGGGUGAGUUGGGACCAACAGAGCGUGCAGACUCUCGGCACAAGCGGCUAGCUAGUCCAAGGGAAGGUUAGUUCACUGAGUUAGAGCUUGACCUGAUUUACACUGAUUUGAGGUAUUUCAGAAUAAGUACGACGCCGUAUGUAAAACGAGGGAAACGCGCCACGUUAUGCUGGAACGCUGCCGGUUUUAAACAGCCGUAGAAAUGUGCUCAGAACACGUAUAAACGCUAGGAAUGCCCAAAACCUUUGAGAAGUGUGCAGGGCUACGGUCUUACUUUGAAAUUUAAGGCAGGAACUCGUACGGGAUCGUGCCAGAAAAACAACUAGUGUUUCCUCUAAUACAAAUACUAUAAGUGAAUCAAAAUUUGCUUAAAAUCUUAGCAUACCAUUCGUGCUACUCAAUUUCUUCUCCUGCUUCUGCAUCACUGUGAGAGCACCAGAAACCUACAAACGCAACGCGGUACCUUUCUCCAAAAUAAAUGAUCAGGGCUUGAGUGUUUGCACCAAAAAAAACAAAAA